AUGCUUGUUUCAGCAGCAUAUAUACUAAAACUGGAAUGAUACAGAGAAGAUUAGCAUUGCCCCUGUGCAAAUUCAUUAAUUGUUCCAUAUUUUU
ensembl:snRNA U6 U6 spliceosomal RNA